rnacentral:RNase_P_RNA from 1 species
GGAGCCGGCCAGACAGUCGCGUCAUUGGAAACAAUGCCGAGGAAAGUCCGGGCUCCACAGGGCACGGUGCCAGGUAACGCCUGGGCGGCGCAAGCCGACGGAAAGUGCAACAGAAAGAUACCGCCGAACGAUUUCGAGGAUCACUUGCCGGACGCAAGUCCGGCCAAGUGUUCCAGCCACCGCAAGGUGGACGGAAUGCGUGGCAAGGGUGAAAUGGUGCGGUAAGAGCGCACCGCGAGUCUGGCAACAGACCGGCACGGCAAACCCCACCGGGAGCAAGACCAAAUAGGGACCUCAUGGCGCGGCCCGCGUCGGGUCCGGGUAGGUUGCUUGAGCGUGACGGUGACGUUGCGCCUAGAGGAAUGACUGUCCACGACAGAACCCGGCUUAUCGGCCGGCUCCGCCG